UAAUUAAUUAGAUACACUAUUUACUAGAGAAAAACUUGGCAAUUUUAUUUUAAAGAAAUUAAUUUUCGGCUGUUUUCCGAAAGAUUUUGUAAAAUCGGAAUCAGUGUAUGGUAUCCCUAUCUCUGACGUAACAAGAUGGCGUGUAGUGGAUGUUUCGUUGUGGUUGACUUGCGUAUAGUUUUGUUGUGAUAUAUCCGUGUUAAUGCUAUAAAAAUGAAUAAAACUAUAAAGAGUGAAGUGCGAAAAUUAUUGUUUUGUAUGAUUUCGAAAUAUGAAGAGAAAAAGCUUGUGAAACAAGCCGUAUUGCGAGAAAAACAGGAUUGUUUACGUACUGUGACUGAUUUUUUUGAUAGUCUUGAGGAUAAUGCACGAACUGCUGAAGUUUAACAAGCAAUUGAAAAGGUCACAGAUUUAGAUCAAAAAGAUAUGAUGAAAUCGCAGAACCAGUACUUAGAAGAACUAUCUUCACUCACCAAUGUAAGUGUUAUUACAUUGAAGAGAAUUAAAAAAGAAGGUGUCACCCUUCAAAAGUGCCGAACUUAGAUAGUUUCGAUAUGGAUGUUAUUCGUAAUAAAGUAAACGAAUUUUACUGUGUUAGGAAACAAGUACCAACAUUAAGAUCUUUGUUGGUAGAGUUAAAAGAAAGUAUAGAAUUUGGUGGAUGUCGUGAAACUCUCCGUCGCAUAUUAUUAGCCAACGGUUAUGAAUUUAAGAAAAACAAAAAUGAAUGUUCAUUAUUAAUUGAACGAUAUGACAUAGCUGCAUGGAGACAUCGCUUCUUGCGUAACUUAUGUCCACAAAACCUAUAAGCCUAAAAAAUGUUGGCAAGGUCCAUCAACAAGUGGAAUAAUUGAAAAUAUAUCGUCAGGAAAACGAUAUAUUAUUGUGAAUGCAGGAUCAGAGAAAGACCUUAUUCCAAACUCAUUGUUAGUAUUUAGCACCAAAUCUAAAAUGGCCGACUACCACCAUGACAUGAAUUCCACAAACUUCAACAAAUGGCUUCAAGAAAAGCUUAUUCCCAAUUAAAUGAACCAAGUGUAAUUGUAAUGGACAAUGCAUCAUACCAUUCUGUCAUAAUAAAUAAAGCGCCCACAUCUCAAAAUCGAAAGUUAGAGAUACAGAAUUGGCUUACAUUGAAUGUUAUUUCAUUUGAAACAUACAAUUCAAAAGCAGAGUUGCUCUGCUUAGUAAAACAGAACACACCAGAACCUAUUUAUGAAGUUGAUGAACUUUUAAGCCAAAACGGACAUGAAGUGCUAAGACUUCCUCCAUAUCAUUGUGACCUAAAUGCUAUAGAACUCAUAUGGAGUCUAGCAAAAAGAAACGUGGGAAGCAAAAAUGUAAGCCGAACUCCAAAAGAGGUCGAGGAUCUCAUAAAACAAUCUUUUGAGAGUAUUACAGCAGAUGAUUGGAAAAAAAUGACAGACCAUGUCAUUCAUGUGGAAGACAAGUACAAAAGAAGAGACCAUAUAACUGAAAAUAAUUUAGAAAGAUUCAUCAUCAAUUUACGAGACAGCAGCGACUCCAGUGAUUCUGACGAUUCACUCCAUGUUGA